UGCCCCUCCAGCUCCGGAGGGGAGCGAGGAGGGGGCGGGGCGCGCCUCGAGAGUGACAGGCCCGGCUGCCCUAUCAAAGAGCCCCUUGGGAGCUGCGAGCCGCAACCAUUGGCGCCUGGGGCGUGGGCGGGACGGCAGUAGGUGGGGCCGCCGAGUGGGUUGAGCGUUACUGUGGCAGCGGGCAUCCCAGGGUGCGUGCGGUGCAGGGUGUGCAAGAAAAUGCGAGGUUGGAGGAGGAGCUUUAAAUGGAUUUGGACUCCUCAGGAGGAUUUGCUAAUGGUCUGAACAAGUGAAUAGAGCACUGCAAAAGAUUUGUAUACUAUUCCCGUUUUGAUCUUUUCUGCCAAUCUCUACCAAGAACUUGAUUAAAGAUCUGAGACGCUGUCCCUGGCCUACCCAAGUUUUAAUCUUCUCUUAAAUGUCAACUCAACAACAACACAUAUGGCAAGGGUAAAAACCCUCAAUGUAGAGUUUUUACAAAUCAACAAGAAAAUAAAGAUGAACGUUCGAACUGAAAAAUAUGUGCAACAGAAACAAAACCCAAAAUGGCCAGUAAAUGUGAUAGGAGGUUCAACAGGAAAAUGGAUAUCCAUACCCUACUAGUGGAAUUUUUAAUUGGUACAACAUUGCUGGAAGGCAGUUUAAUAGCAUUUGUGAAAAGCCUUUUAAAAAAAUGUAUACAUUUGACUUAGCAAUUUUACUUCUGGGAAAGAAUGGAACAAAUUUGCAAAUACACAAACACAAGCGCACAUAUCAUGGGAAUAAUUGGAACAUUGUUUAUAAUAGUGAAACACUGAGAAAAGUUCAUUGAUAAGGGAUUUGGUGUGUAAAUUAUGUUAUAUCUAUAAUAGAAUACUAUAUAGCCAUAAAAUUAUAACAUUGCCAUUUAUUUAUUUAUUUGUGUGGAAAGAUGUUCACAACAAAUUAAAAUUAAGAAGAGCUAAUAAAUUAGUAUUGUGUUUGUAUGUGUACAUAUGUAUGUUUAUAUAUAUGUAUUAAUACACAUAUAUUUCCAUUAUUUUUAAACUUAUUUAUAUGUGUAAAUUUUCAUAGAAAGCAAUACAUACACAAAAAUUUUAAUGAUCAUUUCCUCCAAGUAAUCAUAUUUUAGGUCAUUGUUAUUUUAUUUUUUAUCUUUUUCUUAAUUUCCUCAACUUUUUACAUUGGGCAUUUAUUAUGUUAUUAGAAAAAACAAUAAAAACUUAUUUUAAACUUGUA